GAGAAAGUAGGGAGGAAAAAUAUCAAGCUGAGAUUUUCUUCACUAUUUGUUGAAGUUUAUUUGAAAUCAGUGACUUAAUUCGAGUCUGUAACCCGUAACGUGAAGUUUGAUUUUAUUUGUUAUUUUUUUGUCCAUUGAAAUUUGAAGAAGAAGAAGAUUAGGGUCUCUCAAAUUUUAUCCAAGAGACGUCGAAAUUGAAUAUGGAUGUAACUGUGUGCAAACUAACUGAAUAUUCGAAAGCUGAAGUGAAGGUUGGAGUGAAAUCUGAUAAGGUCAAACUUGAAACUGCGGCUAAAAAGAAGCUUGUACUGAAUCAGAAAUCGGAAAUUAGAACUAACAAAAGCUUUCAUGACUUUCAUGCAUUUGAUGAGCAAGAUAUUAGAUAUAUGCUCUAGGAAGAUAUUAGAUGUAUGCUCUAUUGUAAAAUUUAAAUUUGUUUUGAAUGCAAUUGUGAAUUGCUACAGUUUUCUUUUAUUCAAAUGCAGAGAUUUUGUUUGGUUUUUUUUAUGUUUAUGUUCAACUAUGGGAAUAUUGGCAGAAUAGUAGAGGAAUGAAAUCAGU